rnacentral:rRNA from 1 species
GCCCUAGCACAGGUGCUGCAGUGGCCGUCGUCAGCUCGUGCCGUGAGGUGUUGGUUAAGUCCCGCAACGAGCGCAACCCCCGCCGUUAGUUGCCAGCGGUUCGGCCGGGCACUCUAACGGGACUGCCCGCGAAAAGCGGGAGGAAGGAGGGGACGACGUCUGGUCAGCAUGGCCCUUACGGCCUGGGCGACACACGUGCUACAAUGCCCACUACAAAGCGAUGCCACCCGGCAACGGGGAGCUAAUCGCAAAAAGGUGGGCCCAGUUCGGAUUGGGGUCUGCAACCCGGCCCCAUGAAGCCGGAAUCGCUAGUAAUCGCGGAUCAGCCAUGCCGCGGUGAAUACGUUCCCGGGCCUU